AGUCGUAACAAGGUUUCCGUAGGUGAACCUGCGGAAGGAUCAUUAUUGAAUGUAUGAGUUUUCUGUAUAUGUAUAUGAAUAUAUAUGUACACCUACUCUAUACCUUAAUACAAUUUUCACUGUCCCAAUAUGUGGUUAUCAGUAUAUGGUCUAUGGUUAUUUUCUAUAACAGCUUUCCUAGGAAGGCCUGUUGUGGAUUAUAUAUACCAAGUAAUUGACUGAUUAUAAUAUAUGUUCAUGUUCUAUGGACUGUGAGAUAUUAUAAACCUCAGAGCGGUUGGAACUUUCGGGGGAUAACAACUCUGUCUCUCUAUAAUAUCACACAAUGUUCAGUGUCCAUGCACACAUAAUCUUAAUAAAACACAACUUUCAACAACGGAUCUCUUGGCUCUCAU
rnacentral:misc_RNA from 1 species